GACAUAGGUCGCAAGCGUUAUUCGGAAUUAUUGGGCGUAAAGGGCGUGUAGGCGGCUUCGUGUGUCCCAUGUGAAAGCCCUCGGCUCAACCGGGGAACUGCAUGGGAAACUGCGGAGCUUGAGUCCGGGAGAGGUGAGUGGAAUUCCCAGUGUAGCGGUGAAAUGCGUAGAUAUUGGGAGGAACACCGGUGGCGAAGGCGGCUCACUGGACCGGUACUGACGCUGAGACGCGAAAGCCAGGGGAGCAAACGGG
rnacentral:rRNA from 1 species